GCAAGUCGAAUGUCUUCUUCGGAAGGCAUGGCAAACGGGAGAGUAACACAUUGAUAACGUACCUCGAAGACGGGCAUAACUCUGCGAAAGCGGAGAUAAUACCCGAUGUGAUUGAAUCACACAUGUGAUUUAAUUAAAGCUCCGGCGCUUCGAGAGCGGUCUAUGGCCUAUCAGCUUGUUGGUGAGGUAAAAGCCCACCAAGGCUACGACGGGUACCGGGUGUGAGAGCAUGGCC
rnacentral:rRNA from 1 species